CACGUAGGGUGCGAGCGUUGUCCGGAAUCAUUGGGCGUAAAGAGCUCGUAGGCGGCUCAGUAAGUCGGGUGUGAAACCCUCAGGCUCAACCUGGGGACGCCACCCGAUACUGCUGUGGCUAGAGUCCAGUAGGGGAGUGUGGAAUUCCCGGUGUAGCGGUGAAAUGCGCAGAUAUCGGGAGGAACACCAGCGGCGAAGGCGGCACUCUGGGCUGGAACUGACGCUGAGGAGCGAAAGCGUGGGUAGCAAACAGG
rnacentral:rRNA from 1 species